rnacentral:tRNA from 1 species
AGAGCUCAGCGUUAGAGCGUCGGUCUUGUAAACCGGAUGUCGGAGGUUAAAUUCCUCCCUUUUGCUCAGAG